rnacentral:rRNA from 1 species
UACGUAGGGUGCAAGCGUUGUCCGGAAUUAUUGGGCGUAAAGAGCUCGUAGGCGGUUUGUCGCGUCUGCUGUGAAAACGCGAGGCUCAACCUCGCGCCUGCAGUGGGUACGGGCAGACUAGAGUGCGGUAGGGGAGAUUGGAAUUCCUGGUGUAGCGGUGGAGUGCGCAGAUAUCAGGAGGAACACCUAUGGCGAAGGCAGAUCUCUGGGCCGUAACUGACGCUGAGGAGCGAAAGCAUGGGGAGCGAACAGG